rnacentral:rRNA from 1 species
UAAAAAUGACUCUCGGCAACGGAUAUCUCGGCUCUGGCAUCGAUGAAGAACGUAGCAAAAUGCGAUACUUGGUGUGAAUUGCAGAAUCCCGUGAACCAUCGAGUCUUUGAACGCAAGUUGCGCCCGAAGCCAUCCGGUCGAGGGCACGUCUGCCUGGGCGUCACACACC